rnacentral:rRNA from 1 species
AACGAACGCUGGCGGCGCGUCUUAAGCAUGCAAGUCGGACGGCAAGGGUAGCAAUACCCCCUAGAGUGGCGGACUGGUGAGUAACGCGUGGGUGACCUACCCUCGAGAUGGGGGAUAGCCAUUAGAAAUAGUGGAUAAUACCGAAUACGCUCUACGGACUGUGGUUUGUAGAGGAAAUCAGGCUACGGCCUGGCUCGAGGAUGGGCCCGCGUCCCAUUAGCUAGUUGGUGAGGUAACGGCCCACCAAGGCGACGA